ensembl:lncRNA
AUGAGAUGCUUUGUGCUUUUCCCCUUCUUUCUGUUUCUGAAAAAAAAUGUACUUUAUCAAAGGAUUUCAUGCCGCUUUAAUGUGAGUAUGCUUCUUAAAGGGGAAGUCCACCAAUUUUUCAAAAUUUCGUGUUUUUUUUUUUUUUUUGCAGAAUUUUGCAGACAUUAACGUGUGAACAGCUUUUUUUUUAGACUGGUCUGGUUCUUCUAAAGCAUAACAUGAAUGCACACUUGAUGUCCAAGUAUUUGUGGAUAGUCCCUUUCAAUGAGUGCUGCAUUAGCCUACCGUAUUUUUUUUAACUUAUAAGGCGCACCGGAUUAUAAGGCUCAUUUUAUGCAAUUCUAGUAAGGACAUGUUUUCCUUCUAAUUCUGUUUGUUCCAAAGGUGAGACCUGUAAGGCUAAGCUAAGUACACAAAACUGUAAUUCCUAAAAAGUCAGAGAAGUCAAACGAAUGCUGGAUAUUAAUGGAUUUCUCUCUUGAAAACUGUUUAUUUGGAUGAAUAAGGCACUUCUGUUAAUAAGGCACUUAUUAACAGUAAUCUUAGAUUUCCAGAUUUCCAUUAGCAUUAGUUGGUAAUCCUAAUGCUGCUUCAGCAGUGCUAGAUAGGGUUAGCAGCAGGCCACAGGCCGAUAAUACUCCCCUCUGGACGGCCAAUGAGCUAGUGCUUAGCACAGUUAGCGGCUAUGGCUAAUACUGCUGGAGAACUAAAUUGAAACUCCUCUAUAACGCUGUACUUUAGCAGAAUGGCUUUUCUGCUCCUUACAACCUGACUAGUAAAAUUCACACAUUGGUAAAAUUAAAGGAUUGUAAGUGUGCCUUAUAAUGCAAAAAAUACGGUACGGGACUCUCUGGAGCAGAUAAAUUAAUAUGAACCCAUUGGCACCAAUGGUACGAAAUUGGCUAGAAUUGUAUAAAAGUCCAACCUCAACUGUGUUUUCCAUCCAGUGAUGGUGCUCCAUCUAUUAAUUUGGUGCGGAAUGCAAUCAAACUCUCACAGCAAUGUUUCAAAAUCUAGUAAGUAGAACGCUUCCCUCUCAGGACAGUAGAAACAGGUACUCAAACAGCAUAAACUCGUACUGAAGAGUACAUUACAACCCUUUCACACCAAACCACUCUAAAAAUGUUACUCAUUAAGAUCUUUUCCAGGCCCAUUCAUGCAUUUUUUCAACAGGAUAAUGCAAAACCACACGCUGCACACAUUACAAAGGCAUGGCUGCGCUCCUAGGCCUUUUUUUGAUAGAGAAUGGAAAGGUUUGAAAAGGCAAAAUACAUUAACAAUUAGUUAAUGUCCAGUGAUUUUGAAAAAUCGGUGGCACUGAUGAUGUACAGCAUACAGUAUGAUGUGUGUAUGUGAUUUAAUUCUGUCUGCGACACUGUAAGAGUAUCAUAACUGUGUCUAUGGUCAUUCUGAAGUUGCUGAAGUUGGAAGUGGAAAGCACAGAAAAAAGAUGAUGGGCCAACGAGGGAAGACUAACAAAGUGUGAUGUGUACAAUCUGAUCACCGUGACAGCCGUGAGAUUCAGCCUGUGCUUUAUCCCUCUCACCCAACGCUCAAGCACAUUCAGGCUCGUUAGAAGCCGGGGACAAUCCAAACAGGCUGACGGCCCAGUGUAAAUAUCACCGUGCUAAGUGUCAGGAAGGCUUUCGGUUCAGGUUUGGAUGAGGUUAUAUUGGGGAUUUGUUGCACGGUGGGAUUGCCUGUGUUGAAUUAAAGGAAUAGUUCAGCAUUUUUCAACCUGAUUCUAUCGGCUGUGUUUGUAGUGUACAGUCAAUUACCACAGACAAUGAUUUAAUAAUGUGUUUCCCUGAAAAACAGAAAACACUUCACCUCACGAAAUCCUUCGCCGUUCUCUAAUGGUUAACAUCAAUUUCAUAGACCGUUGAAUAGAACCCUGUGGGACUUAACAAAGUAUGCUAAAAUGUUAGCAAAUAGGGCUCAGAGUGGCUCAGCAGACUAAUACGCUGACACACUGGGACAAAAAUUGACUGAGCAUUAGCAGCCAGAGUCCGAGAGAUGUCAAAAGACAGAAAUCAGCCAUGGGACAGCAUCAUGUAAAUCAAUCAUGAGGUGUUAUCUAAGAGGACAGCUUGUUAUCACCCACACCUGUACAAUAUAUAAUGUUGUGAGGUGUUUUUUCUGAGUUAGGUUGAACACAAGGCUAAUAUUACCACCUACAGUUGACAGUGGACUCAUAUUUUUAGUGCAAGAGGUCCCACACAUAUUCCACAGGUCAGUCAGUGCAGUGUGGCAAAGUCUUGGUACAAAAAAAAUCCUGUUAAAAUCUUAGACUGUCUGUGGUACGCGAUAGUAUAAUACAAACAUUGGAAUAUAGAGAUACAGAGGUUGAAAAAUGCUGGAAUAUUUCAUUAUCUGGCCUCAAAUAAACACUAACAGUCAAUUUAACA